AUUGAACGCUGGCGGCAGGCCUAACACAUGCAAGUCGAGCGAGCGGCGGACGGGGGAGUAAUGUAUGGGGACUGCCCGAUAGAGGGGGAUAACUACUGGAAACGGUAGCUAAUACCGCAUACGAUCGGAUAACCCAUAUGGGAUUAGCUAGUAGGUGAGGUAAUGGCUCACCUAGGCGACGAUCCCUAGCUGGUCUGAGUGGAUGACCAGCCAUCCUGGGACUGAGACACGUCCCAGACUCCUUCGGAGGCAGCAGUGGGGAAUGUUGCACAAUGGGCGCAAGCCUAAUGCAGCCGUGCCGCGUGUAUGAAGAAGGCCCUAGGGUUGUAAAGUACUUUCAGUCGGGAGGCGUUACCGGCAGAGGAAGCACCGGCUAACUCCGUGCCAGCAGCCGCGGUAAUAC
rnacentral:rRNA from 1 species